UACGUAGGGUGCAAGCGUUAUCCGGAAUCAUUGGGCGUAAAGAGUGCGUAGGCGGUUUGGCAAGUCUGAGGUUAAAUCUGAUCGCUUAACGAUCAAAACGUCUCAGAAACUAUCAAGCUAGAGAGUGAUAGAGGCAACUAGAAUUCUGCAUGUAGGGGUAAAAUCCGUUGAUAUGCAGAGGAAUACCAAAAGCGAAGGCAGGUUGCUGGGUCACUUCUGACGCUGUUGCACGAAAGCGUGGGGAGCAAAC
rnacentral:rRNA from 1 species